AGAAAAGUAAGCUAAGACUAAGCUAGUGGGCUCAUACCCCAUUUAUGGAGUUAUCCCUUUUCUA
rnacentral:tRNA from 1 species